GAACCUACGGGGCGCAGCAGUGGGGAAUAUUGCACAAUGGGGGAAACCCUGAUGCAGCGACGCCGCGUGGGUGAAGAAGCGCCUCGGCGCGUAAAGCCCUGUCAGCAGGGAAGAAAAUGACGGUACCUGAAGAAGAAGCCCCGGCUAACUACGUGCCAGCAGCCGCGGUAAUACGUAGGGGGCAAGCGUUAUCCGGAUUUACUGGGUGUAAAGGGAGCGCAGGCGGAUUGACAAGUUGGGAGUGAAAACUAC
rnacentral:rRNA from 1 species